rnacentral:rRNA from 1 species
AGUGAACGCUGGCGGUAGGCCUAACACAUGCAAGUCGAACGGCAGCACAGUAAGAGCUUGCUCUUACGGGUGGCGAGUGGCGGACGGGUGAGGAAUACAUCGGAAUCUACUUUUUCGUGGGGGAUAACGUAGGGAAACUUACGCUAAUACCGCAUACGACCUACGGGUGAAAGCAGGGGAUCUUCGGACCUUGCGCGAUUGAAUGAGCCGAUGUCGGGUUAGCUAGUUGGCGGGGUAAAGGCCCACCAAGGCGACGAUCCGUAGCUGGUCUGAGAGGAUGAUACGCCACACUGGAAGUGAGAGACGGCGCAGACUCCUACGGGAGGAAGCAGUGGGGAAUAUUGGGGAAUGGGGGAAAGCGUGAUACAGCCAUACCGGGGAGGUGAAGAAGGAGUUAGGGUGGUAGAGCCCUGUUGUAGGGAAAGAAGUACAGCAGGUUAAUCAGCCGAUAUUCUGACGGUACCCAAAGAAUAAGCACCGGCUAACUUCGUG